rnacentral:tRNA from 1 species
UAGUAAAAACAUUACACUGCCUUGUCAAGACAAAAUUGUGGGUUAGACCCCUGCGAGUCCUG